UACAGAGGGUGCGAGCGUUGUUCGGAAUUAUUGGGCGUAAAGGGCGCGUAGGCGGUGCGGUAAGUCACCUGUGAAAUCUCCUGGCUCAACUGGGAGCUUGCAGGCGAAACUGCCGUGCUGGAGUGUGGGAGAGGUGCGUGGAAUUCCCGGUGUAGCGGUGAAAUGCGCAGAUAUCAGGAAGAACACCCGUGGCUAAGGCGGCUCUCUAGUACGGUACUGACGCUGAGACGCGAAAGCGUGGGGAGCGAACAGG
rnacentral:rRNA from 1 species